rnacentral:lncRNA from 1 species
CUUGGGAACUGGAAAAUUUCUCCCACUCUCCAGCCCUGCCUUUUCUAGUGGCCAAUUUAGCCUCUAUGUCUGGACGUCUGGUUGGUGUUGACUAAAAAAUAUAGUCACCAUCACCACCUGAAAGAGAGUUAUUUUAUUUGGUGAGAAUGUUUAGGACUCUGAGCCCUGGAGACAGUAUCUCGGUAGCUCUGAGAAAAGUGAUUCAAGGAACCGGAAGGGGAGUCAGGGUAUAUACAAGUUUGCAGCAAAGGGAGCAGGAGCAGGCAGUCUGAACAUCAAAGAUCAGAUAGCAAAUUAAGGAACUUAGCAUUCUGUAUAUGGGAAGAUAAAAGGCUCUUGGCUCACUGAAUUCAUUCCUUUCAUAUGCACCUCGGCUAUCUGGGGCCAAUCCUGUUUUCUUGCUCACCUUAAGGAGUGACAGAUGGCUCUUCUUGCAUUCCCCCAGCUCCUCAGCAACCACUGUGGGGAGUGGUGGCAUCUGCUGGAUCACAGUUUUGGGAACCCUUAUUCAUAUUUGGAGGCCAGAAACUGCUGAUGGCUGUGACAUUUCUUGUUAAUUGAUACGGCAGGAGAUAUUUUCACUUUACACUAGUAUCUCACAGUCAUGUCACUUAUGUCUCAACAGAAUGGACCCUUGUCUAUGAGAUGCUAUGUUGGAGUUCUGGAUUGUCACUCUGGGGUCACAGCAUGGGCUCGUCAUGUGGUGGUUGAUGGCAGGGGGCAAAUUCAAACAAGCAGAGAAGUUUCAAGAACAAAUCAAAUAACUCACACAGAUAUUCCAAAUGAAACACUCUUAACAAUCUGCCCCAGUCCCGUCUCAGACUACAUCCAAAGCCCCAUCAAGCAGACAGUAAGCCGCACAUCACCAAUCCUUCUGGCCAAAGACAUAUGAACAAUUUGUCCAAAUAUUCAUUGGAAGGACUGGUGCUGAAGCUGAAGCUCCAAUACUUUGGCCACCUGUGAAGAGCCAACCCAUUGAAAUAGACCCUGAUGUUUGAAAGAUUGAAAGCAGGAGGAGAAAGGGACAACAGAGGAUGAAAUGGUGAGAUAGCAUCACUGCCUCAAUAGACAUGAGUUUGAGAAAACUCCAGGAGAUGGUGAAGGAUUGGGAAGCCUAGUGUGCUGCAGUCCAUGGGGUUGGACAUGACUUAGCAACUGAACAACAAUAAUACAAUUGUAAAACAUGACCAAGUUGAACCAGUUUG